rnacentral:rRNA from 1 species
UACCGGCAGCACAAGUGGUACUCACGAUUAUUGGGCUUAAAGCGCCCGUAGCUGGCUGAUGCCGUCUCACGUGAAAUAUUGGUGCUCAACAUCAAUGCGUGCGUGAGAUACCCAUCGGCUUGGGAGCGGGUUGGGUCAGGAGUACUUAUGGGGGAGAGGUAAAAUUCUAUAAUCCCAUAAGGACUAACGGCGGCGAAGGCGCCUGACCAGAACGCAUCCGACAGUGAGGGACGAAGGCUAGGAGAAAGAAUCGG